UACGUAGGGUGCGAGCGUUGUCCGGAAUUAUUGGGCGUAAAGAGCUCGUAGGCGGUUUGUCGCGUCUGCUGUGAAAACCCGAGGCUCAACCUCGGGCCUGCAGUGGGUACGGGCAGACUAGAGUGCGGUAGGGGGAGAUUGGAAUUCCUGGUGUAGCGGUGGAAUGCGCAGAUAUCAGGAGGAACACCAAUGGCGAAGGCAGAUCUCUGGGCCGUAACUGACGCUGAGGAGCGAAAGCAUGGGGAGCGAACAGG
rnacentral:rRNA from 1 species